AGUGAAGCGGCAACAGCUCAAAUUUGAAAUCUGGCCUUCGGGUCCGAGUUGUAAUUUGUAGAGGAUACUUUUGGCGCGGUGCCUUCCGAGUUCCCUGGAACGGGACGCCUUAGAGGGUGAGAGCCCCGUACGGUUGGACGCUAAGCCUCUGUAAAGUUCCUUCGACGAGUCGAGUAGUUUGGGAAUGCUGCUCUAAAUGGGAGGUAAAUUUCUUCUAAAGCUAAAUACCGGCCAGAGACCGAUAGCGCACAAGUAGAGUGAUCGAAAGAUGAAAAGCACUUUGAAAAGAGGGUUAAAUAGCACGUGAAAUUGUUGAAAGGGAAGCGUUUGCGACCAGACCUCUUCCUAGCGGAUCAUCCGGUGUUCUCACCGGUGCACUUCGCUAGGUCUAGGCCAGCAUCGGUUUCUGUAGGGGGAUAAAAGCUUAGGGAAUGUGGCUCCCUCGGGAGUGUUAUAGCCCUUUUCAUAAUACCCUUACGGGGACCGAGGACCGCGCUUUUGCAAGGAUGCUGGCAUAAUGGUCGUCAACGACCCGUCUUGAAACACGGACCAAGGAGUCGAACAUUUGUGCGAGUGUUUGGGUGUUAAACCCUCACGCGUAAUGAAAGUGAACGGAGGUGAGAGCCCUUUACGGGCGCAUCAUCGACCGAUCCUGAUGUCUUCGGAUGGAUUUGAGUAAGAGCAUAACUGUUCGGACCCGAAAGAUGGUGAACUAUGCGUGGAUAGGGUGAAGCCAGAGGAAACUCUGGUGGAGGCUCGCAGCGGUUCUGACGUGCAAAUCGAUCGUCAAAUCUGCGCAUGGGGGCGAAAGACUUAUCGAACCAUUAACCCAGCGGUAAAUUUGAUUUACUAGGUGGUUAAGAGGCCGCUCGCGAGAGCAU
rnacentral:rRNA from 1 species